ensembl:lncRNA
AUGCGAUUCCUGCUCCGUCUCAGUGUGUUGUCGUUGCACGGGCAAUGGCGGACGGAGCCCGAGCAUUUGUUUGAAAAACGUACGUUUUGCACAAAUAUACUCGAAUAUCGAUCGGCCAGUCAAAGCGUUCAGCUCGCACGUGUGUUUUUGGCCCUGAUCAGAUCUGCGCCCGUCAGCAUGGAUGUGAAUCUGACCAUCUCUCUGAUGCGGGGCCAGAUGGGCGCUGUUAUCGAGAAAGCCGUGAACGUCGCGGUGGAGACCGUGUUAGGAGAGAUGAUCCGGGUGGUCGGGCUCAAAUUUGAGGAGAUCAAACGUGAUAUGACAGCUAAAGAGAAGGAGAAUGAGAACAUCAGGAGGAUGUUGGAGGCGUCCCGCUGUCAGAUGAAAACCAUGCGCAAGUACAUCAGCGUCCUGUCUGCUAAAGACCCCAACCAUAGACUGUAUCAGGGAGAUGGAGACAUGGCUACAACAUCCACAGGGAUGCACUGCAGAAGAGGGCCGACGAGCACUGUGUCAGUGUGUGCCACAACCCCAGUCCCCUGUCCCAGACCCAGACCCUCUGAGCCAGCCCCUGUAGCUGGACCCUCAUGGGUGAGACAGCAGAUGCACAUGUCCAAAGAAACAGUAAGAAGUGAGAAUCACAUUGCUGAUGUCCAUAUUGAAGAGAUCCAUGGAUCAUCAGUUCAUAAAGUUGAUAUCUCAAGCCCUCAUCUGGUGGACAGUCAGGCGCUUCUGUCUGAGACCAGUGAUCCAGUAUGGGGUCAGAACCCUCUCACCUCUGCAGAGACUGGGCACUCAGAUGAAAGUGUGUCAUCCCAAACUACAAGCACAGUGGGAUUUGGAGCACCUUCACUUAAAAUCAAACAGGAGGAAGCUGAGGUUGAAAUAGUCUGUGUGAAGGAUGAACACGCAGAAUCUGGCAACAUCCCUAGAUUUGAAUAUUCUGACCCUGAACUUCACCAGCCAGCGGGAGAACCAGAGCUCGGGGUCUCACUAGAUCUACCCGCAUCAUUUCAAGCUCUUCAGAGUCCAAGCACUUCAGCAGACUUUGCACUCCCAGCAUUCAUGAGUGUGGACCCAGCUACCUAUGACGACUCUCAGCUGUCUGUGGUAGGGGUCCAAAAGCAGGUGCGUCCGAGACGCAAGGACCUGAAUCUGUAUGAAGAAUACAAACGCAGCCGAACUCUGAGAGGCCAUAACACAAACCGAGGCAUUAGUACAAACCGACGGCGUGAGCUGGAGCAGACUCUACCGCAGGCUCUACUUGCAGACUUGGUAAGGGAACGAAGGGAAAAGACUCGUCUUCGAGUGGCCCGCUGGCGUGCCAAACGCAAAUUACAAGCCUGUCUGAUGGCCUCGCAGGCUGCGCAGUUUAGCGGCGCUCCUGUGCAGAGUUCACCUGCCCAGCGUGGAGGCCUGAUCUCCACCCACAGGCGAGGUGGAGUGACGGCGCAGCGCGGUGGGCUUGGAUUGAGAAGGGGACUGUCAGAGACUGCCACAUAUAACCUGCUGCUGCAGCUGGGGCCCAGUCCUACUCAAUCAACAGCGCCACACGCCAUCAGUGAGGGUCUCAUGCCAUCUGGCCCCUCAGCGUUAUCACACCACAGAACCACUGCACCGAGAUCAACUUACCAAUGA